rnacentral:lncRNA from 1 species
GUGGUCACAGAGCUCGAGGAAGUGCUGGGUGGUCUCAAACAGGUCCAGUUGGAGAUGAAAGAGAUUGUCCAACAGAUCGACAUUCUAACGUCCAAUAUUGACCUUGGCGAAGACGAACCAAUUCUAUCCAAUGGACUCUCCCAAGAUGCCACCAAAAGCAGUCGAACUGGUGUUGUGGCAUUGAUGCACAAUUCAAACGGCGAAGAGGACAUGUCAACUUCCAAUUCCUCUCUCGCACACAGCCCUGUCACUGUGGAUUUAGUUCAUAUUAACAGUCCUUGGCCGAUGAGAAACCGCACAAGCCCCUCCCCUCCUGAGCAACGAUCCGUUACUGUUGAGGAUAAAGGCAAACGAGUUGUGAAACAGAGCUCAGAGACUCAAAGGACGGCCAAUGGAAACUGCCUACCGCAUCGAACGGCAAGGAAAGGCCAACUGGAAAACCACAGACCCCCUGUAGCUCCAGUAGUGUGCACUAACUCAAAUAAAACCCACCGGCCUCCACCUUACCCUCAGAACGGACAGGUGAAGAUGAGGACCCCUCCCUAUCCUGGAAAACAUAAGACGCUCUCCUCCACCAUAGUAUUACGGCGAGCUUUGUUGUUCGCCCUGCAGGCAGAGGAAUGGUGUUGAACGCUGUGCGAUUCAAAAGCCGAUC